rnacentral:misc_RNA from 1 species
CUCUUUUGCGCAACCCGACCGACUUCAGUACGUUCGCUCCCACUUAGAGUUGUCUCUCUACCUAUGCCUUUAAUUCGUCAGUCAUAUACAAGGUGUAUACAAAUAUAUGAAUAAGGAGAAGAAUUAAUAAUAUAUGAAAUGAACAAAGUAAAAGAUCACUAAGUAUAUACACUCGAUGUUACAAACGCGCAAGUGCGCUACAAAGCGUACUUUAACAAGUUAGAGCUAAAAUGCACAGAACAAAUAAAAACUGGUCGUAUGAUGAAUAUGAUCUCUCUUUGAGUGAAAAAUAGAUUAUAUAAAAACUUUUUAUUAUUUUAACAUAACAUUGUUCGAUGUGUUUUCCUUUUUUUCUGUAUACUCACAUAAGAUUGAAGAAUAAAAUUAUAAAAUAAAGAUCUGAUGUUAUCAUUUAUACACAUAUCUUUGAAAGAAAGUAUGAGGGGGGAUCGAAACAGGCCCACCAAGCUAUCCGAUUUCGCCUUGUUGAUCGAAAACUCCCACCGAAUUUUUGAGAUAUUUACUUUCAAACUAGAUGGCGAUAAAGUUGUGGCAAUCAACACCACAUAGGGGUGCAAUCACAGUCUAUUUUACUCAGCAAUACACUCAAAUAGAUGUGACAGUGCUGGACACUGUAGGUGGUAGUACCAAGUGCUUUGUGGGUGUUUUUUUUCUUAUACUAAGUUGAUUAAAAAAAAUAAAACAUAUGUAAAUGUAAUUACAAAGAAAAAUAAGUUUGUUAUAUCAAAUUGGACUGAGCGAUAUGGACAUAUCAGAUGAAAUGGACAAAUCAUGGGAUCAUCCAUGGACUACAGAGGAAAUGCGAAAUAACAGAAGAGAUUGGAGUUUAGCAGGUGAUGCAGGACUUCUUAAACACCUUCAGCAAUUUUCUGAAAAUAUAGUAUCACUAGCUAACAAAGUUGAGGAAAGUUUAGAUUCAUUGACAACUCAAUUACAUGAAACAACAAUAUUUAUAGAUAAUAUUACCAAUACAUCAUUGGCUUUGGCCAAUACUCAAUUUAUUGAAAGCCGUGUACAAGAAGAUGAUGUAGAGAUUGAGAAGAAAGUAGAAACCUCAGCACAGGAAUGUAAGAACCAGGAUUUAGAAGCUGCAGAGUUGAUAGCUAAUGUCAGUGAUAAUAUAAAACAAGGUCUAAACAUAAUGUAUGAAAAAUAUAAAGAAAUGGAAUUUGUUGACAGUGAUAGCGAAGAAGAAGAAGAUGAGGACAAUAAAGUAGUGUUAAGCGUUGUGUUGGGGCCAAAUAAUCCAUACCAAGAUCGGCCUUUACCUUAUGUCAUUGGUUCUGAAAAGUGGAAAAAUUCAAGUAAAAUUGGAUUAGAAAGUAGUAGCAGCAGUGAAUCAGAACAAGUAGAUGAAGAGGACUCAGACAGUGAGGUUGAUGACACAUCAGCAUUUAAGGACAUUAAUAUAGAUCCAAAAACAAACUUAGUGGGAUUAUUACCAUCUUUGAGUGAAAACUACAGUCAAAGAAAUGAUCUAAUAUUUAAUGAAAAGAUAGAUGUGAUCAGUCAAAAUAAUAUAGAUUCUAUUUCUGAAUCAGAUACUCCUAAUCAUAGUGUACCAAAGGUAUUAUCAAAUGAAUCAGCACCAAAUUUUGCAGAAGAAUUGGCUAAACGGUUAGGUACUGUUAGACAAGCUCAAAAACCGACUAGUAUAGAUGAGAAAAGUGAAGCAUCAAUAAAUCGAUAUAAAGAGGACUUAUUUGCAUCAGAAGAAGAUGAAGAUGUUUCAAGUCAUGAACCAAAAAAUAUAUUUAGUGAAACUAAAAAACUUGUAAAUGAUCAAUUGUCAGAAACUUUAUGGAAAGAGAAACCAAUUAAAUCUUAUAAGAAUAAUAUUAUACCUGCCAGCAUUGAUGUACCACCUCCAAUUAGUACAAUCUCCACUAAACCAAAAUCAGCGAUUGAUGAUCUUUUUGCUGAUGCUGAUUCUGAAGAUUCCGAUAUUUUCUCAUCAAAAAAUACAGUGAAAACAGUCGUUAAAAAUAAACACCCAAGUAAUAUUCCGGCAAAUGCAGAAAAUGCACAAAAAAAAUAUUUGGACAUUGUGGCACCAUCCGUUGCUGGCAAUGUUGCUACAAGUACACCUGAAACUAAUGUAAAUACCACUAAUCUGUUUAGCGACGAUGAAGAUGCGGGCGAUCUCUUUAAGUCAUCUACAAAUCAAUCGCAAAGUAAACAAAAAUCUGUAGGUGGGGACUCAAUACGUGGAAACAUUUUAACUUCAGAAAUCGAAAACGAAUUAUCGAGCAAAAUUUCGCGAACGCCUUCAUCCGGAUCUACUGGUAGUAAUACGUCAAUGAAAUACGAAAACAGUACAAAUAACGAUCCUAUGCAUGAUCGUUCGCGAAAUGUUGUGUCAAAUGAUAAUGUUAGUGAACGAGAUUCUCUCGUGAUAGCAAGAAAUAAUGCCGAAAAUAUAUUCACGGAUGAAAGUAACAAUAGUAGUGGAAUAUCGAUCCAACCGUGGAGUAUUAAUAACACAGGAGGUUGGAGCAUAAGUGCACUUUCACCAUUGAUGACGUCGACCCGUUUAAAAUCGGAGGAGAUGUAUUCUGAAAGAGUUGCAAGCGACAGUCUGUUCACAGCGCGAACACCUAAUCGAGCGAGCGUUGCCCCGAAUUCGAUGAACAAUUCCUCGCACGGAGAAUUAAGCGAGGACGUACCAUCGACGGAACAAGACGACGUGUUCGAGAACGAGGAUUUGUUCGGACCACCUCCGUUACCGAAAGCGGACUCGAAGUUAGGAAAGUCGAAGGUGUCCUCGUUGUUCGACGAUUCUGAUUCCGGUGAUGAACUGUUCUCGACGACGAGUUCAGGUUCUAGAUCUCAGAAAAGCAACGAUUUCUUCACAACGGGUGCUCAGCACUCCGACAAAACGAAGAGUAUGCAGCGAAGAGGUCUUUUCGACGAAGAUAUAGACAUAUUCAGCAACAAAGAUUCGCCAGACAUUGACAUCUUCGGCAUAGCCACGAAACCACCAGCCAAAGAAGAAAACAAUAUUCCCAGUUGGAAAAUACCGGACAUAUCAAACGAUGGCUUCUUUACGAGCAACACUAGCGACACGAUAGGAAAAAGUAAAACGAUGGAAAAAAAUCAGACCACUCGUGCACCGAAGAAGAUCAGUCUGUUCGAUGACGAGGAAGAUAUCGAUGAUGGUGAUCUGUUCGCUACGAAGCCUGUUAAAAACGAGCCUAAAACCGAAUCUCGUAUUUUUAACGACAACGGUGAUCAAAUGGAGGAAAAUGAUUUGUUCUCUACUAAAAAAACAUCCGACGGAAAAGAGACAAACGAUAAGUCUUCUAUCAAAACUGUUACGUCAGGUACAGAUACCGUUGAUCAAAAUGUGCCCACUCGCCAGAGUGAAAGAGUGAGUAAGGAUGUUCUUUCGGAUAAUAAUUUGUUCUCCACCACUAUUGGAACGCACGGAUUGGUCUUCGAGGAUGACGAUUACGACGAUUUGUUUAGUACAAAGAGUACUACAAGAGUAACUAAGGAAGAAAAAAAAGAAGAGAGUGUACGAUCAAAAUUACAAGCAAUGGAUGAUACGAAGGUUAAAGACAGUUUAUCUAAGGAUGAAAUUAAUAUCUUUGCAAAGGCUGAAGAACCGAAUAUUUUUGGCACAACGAGUAAAACAGAAGAUGUACAGAGAGGCUCUUCUGACGAACGCAGUGUCACGGAAGAUGUCGAAAGCGAGCCGAAGAAAAGUCCUCCAAAAUCGUUGGACAUUCAAGCAGUCACCUCGUCAUCUUCGUCCGACGAAAAUAGUCAGGGAACGAAACGAGUGGUGUCUGGUAAAAUAAAAAAUUUGAUGGGAAAGAUGGGUGAUUUGAAGAUACUUUCACCUAUGGACACACCACCUCUAUGGCGAAGAAGCGAAGAAAAAACGGACGAGGAAGAUAGUACGGCGGAUAGAGACAGCGAUGACGGCGGAUGCAUUAGUAUACAAGGUCACAGUUCAUCUUUAAGCGUAUCUGAAGAUAGUAUCACCCAGAAACAAUCUUUACAAUCAACGAUUUCAGGAGAAAGUAAUGUAGAAAGUGCUAUUAGUUUUGAUGAACCUGCUCAAGUAGAAACGUUAUCUACUACUGCCUCCAAGACACGAGUCAGAAUACAGGCAAAACGUCGACCUCAAAGCAGGCACGCGCGUAAGUCAGCCCUUAUACAAAGCGGAAUCGAUUUCGAUACUGUAGAUGCUUCGAAAAGCAGCUCGCAACAUGAAAGUCUUGGCAACCCGCCUCAGAAUACUUUCAAAGACCCGGGUUCACAUACUGCCACAAAUUCUGAUCGUUUAGUUUCUGAUAAUCUUCAUCGAACAGCUGACAGUAAUAUUUUCUUAACUGCGGAUGAUAAAUCUGAACUUGGUAGUUUAAGUAAGGAGAGUUCAAUGAGUGCAAACAAAAAUACUUUAUUAUCACCGUCAACCGACGAAGAAGAUCUGUUCGAUGUACCACCAGAUUUGCCCGAAGAUCCUCAAAAAGAGGAUACCCUGUUCGGUAGAGCCCCUAUUCUUUCACCGGUCGAACAAGUCGUUUCUGACAGAGUACCAACUAGUUUUAAACCAUUGAAAGACACGCACAUUAAACAGAUCGAUGACACGGAUAUGGAAACGGAAAAGAAUACGCAAAAGAUGGAUAAGGACAAUGUAUUGGCUAAGCCUAGUCAUGAUUCGAGCACAAAAGCUGCAGUUUCGCUCGCGAAUAAGGAAGAAAUCAAAGCAGAUAACGCCGAAGCAAAAGAAGAAGCGAAAGAGGUGGUCGAUCCAUUACGAGAUAGUAGCCAUGAUCCGUUGAAAGACCCCAGCCAAUUGUUCGCUUUCGUUACGAAAACCCCGUCUCCAGAAAAGGGCAAAAAUCUAUUGUUUUCUGAGGAUGACAGCCUGUUUUCUAGUGGUGGUAAAAGGUCAACCGAAGAACAAACCAUGAAAAAACCAGUCCUGGAUUUAUUUUCCGAUGACGUGGGAGGUGACUUGUUUUCGACAUCUUUAACCAAAUCUGUAAAAAAGCCUUUGAAAGAUACAAAAAUUAGUUUGUUCGAUGAUGACGAACAAAAUGAUGAAGACGAUAGUUUGUUUGGGCCGGUUGUAAAGAAAUCGACGGUUAAAAGUGAACCCGUGAAAAAACAAUCUGUACCACAAUCUGGGAAGAAAAUAAGUCUGUUCGAUGACGAUGACAACGAUGCCGAUUUAUUCUCCGAGUCAUCGGAGCAGACGCAAAAGUCAGAUUCCGGAAGUGUCCAAGAACAAUCGAACAGAAAUGAAAUCUUCUCGAGUAUCGCCGAGCCCGUGAGAACUUCACACAUUGCAGAUAUUUUUGCUGAUCAGUCAAGCGGAGAGGAUGACAUCUUCGCGAGUAAAACUGUACCGAAGAAGAUCGUGUCAUCGAAAUCGUUAUUUCCUUCCGACGAUGACGACGACGACGAUAGUAAUAUUUUUGGAAAAAAACUCACGACUGAAACUCGCGUAAAGCCUACAGAAACGCGUUCAACUAUUAAAAAAUCGGUUACAAAAGAUCUAAAGAAAACAGCUGAAAAGAUCGGUGAUGAUCCUUUGAGUAUUUUGCAAGACGAUUAAUCGUUUUUAGUAAGUUACGUACGUUUGUAUUUAUGUUUAUAUUUGUUUCCCAAUUUUUAAAUUUCUUAAAUGGUUUUAAAUUAUGAUGUAUGAAGAAUUGAAUAUAUGUAUAUCGAUUUCACGAAUUGUAUACUUUUUGGCGUAACUAGGAUUUCUGUCUAGAAUGGGCUCGCGUACAGAACCAAAAACAAUAGACUCUGCUAGAGAAAAUAGUGAAGUAAGAGAAGAAAGUAUAGGGAAUUAUCUACUAUAGUCUUGUAUAGAGAACGAGAUAAGGGAGGGGUAGGGUUAGAAUGUACAAUCCACAUUUUAAGGGGCCACUCAUCCUAGGUCCUAGUUGCGUCCAUGAUUGAAGAAGUCAUUCAAAUGCAAGUGCACAAUGUUAAUUAUGUAUAAAUUAUAAAAAAGUAUAACGCUGUGCGUUAAAUAUGUAGUACGAGCACUGUGCAAAGAUGAACGAUACAAAAUUUAGCGGUGUAAAAAAGUGCGUAUAUGUUUCUUGUUAUUUAUUCUUUAUGUGAAGAUUAAAAUUGAAGAACUACAUUCUGAUUUAUAAGAUAUCUCACCAAAAAUGUUUUGCAGUAUUUUUCCACGAUAUUUUUCUUGAACGGAAAUCCUAAAUAUAGUGAAACCACCGCAAAAAGAUUUUUAUGGAAUGCCAAGAACAACGAACAAUAAAACAAAUAAGAUAGUAAUUAAUACUGUUUCAUUUAUUACCAUAGACUUACAGUACCAGUUUGCAUAAUUUAGUUGCAAGCAGUAAGUUAAAUGUGCGUUGAGAAUUCUGUUCUUAUGUAGUUUAUGCCUAGUUCAUUCUAUAUGUAUAGUUUAUAAUAUUUAUAUAUAUAUGCAUAUAUAUACAUAUAUACAUAUAUAUAUACAUACGUGUAUAUCAUUCCAUGAUGUAUUGUACAUAUUGUAUCCACUUUACGAAGCAUGUAGUAGUACAAAUAAAUUGAGAGAAUAAAAUGUAUUUAUGGCA